rnacentral:rRNA from 1 species
GUAAAAGCAAUAUGUUAACUUUUUGGUUGAUAUAAUGUAAUUUUUUUGGCUGAGUGCCGGCUGUCCUAAUUUCUCUGGACAGUAAGUGAGAUCUCACUUUUUUGAAAGCUUCGGCUAUUAGCGAUUUAUUCGCAUAAAGUUCUAUAUAGAAUACAGAUAAUGACUAUUUUCUAUAUAUAAGUCUUGACUAAAACACGUGCCAGCAGUCGCGGUAACACGGGACAGACAAGUGUUAUUCAUCUUUAAUAGGUUUAAAGGGUACCUAGACGGCAAAUUUCAAUUUAGCCCCCAUUGAAUUGGAGUGGUACACAUUUGCUAGAGUUUUAUAUGAGAGGAAUUUAGUACUAACAGAGUAGAGAUGAAAUUCUUUGAUACUGUAGGGCACUGAUAACGGCGAAGGCAGACCUUUAUGUAAAAACUGACGUUGAGGGACGAAGGCUUGGGUAACAAACAGGAUUAGGUACCCUAAUAGUCCAGGCAGAGAAUGAUGAGUGUCAUAGAUUAGUAUAUAUUUGAUCUAUAAAUGAAAGUGUAAGCACUCCACCUUAAGAGUAAUGCGGCAACGCAGGAACUGAAAUCAUUAGACCGUUUCUGAUACCAAUAGUGAAGUAUGUUGUUCAAUUCGAUAAUCCACGAAAAAUCUUACCACAAUUUGAAUAUUAUAACAACAAAAAGGAAUGUCUUUUAAUAAUAUAAUUAAUAUUAUAUUAUUAAUAUGAUGAAAGUGUUAUUAUACAGGUGUUGCAUGGCUGUCUUCAGUUGAUGUCGUGAGAUGCAGGUUAGCUCCAAUAAAUCAACGUGAACCCUUACUUUAUUUUACACGGCAUUGCCGCAUACAUAGAGUAGUUCCCCGGCAUAUCGGACAGAUAAC